rnacentral:ncRNA from 1 species
ACCUAAAGGAAUGUGUUCCAGCUAAUAUAGCUCAGUUGAGUCAUCACGAUAGACAAUCCUAACCACCACCUGGAAACCUGGCCCGAAAGGGUUUGGCAAAUUGUUUCAUCACAGUCGUGACUGGGAUCGGGGCUUGCAAUUAUUCCCCGUGAACGAGGAAUUCCUGGUAAGUGCAAGUCAUAAACUUUGAUCUGAUUGCGUCCCU